AUGCACUUUCACAAGCAAAUUUGGAAGGCCAAGAUUCCAGUAAAAGUGAACAUUUUCAUGUGGUAUCUUCGGAUAGGAGUUAUACUCACCAAAGACAACCUCACUCGUCGUAAUUGGCAAGGAAGUGAGAAGUGUAGUUUUUAUACACAUGAUGAUACAAGCAAAUACAUCUUCUUGCGUUCUAUAUGGCCAUCAUCCAAAUAG
rnacentral:rRNA from 1 species